rnacentral:rRNA from 1 species
CCUACGGGUGGCAGCAGUGAGGAAUAUUGGUCAAUGGCCGUAAGGCUGAACCAGCCAAGUCGCGUGAAGGAAGAAGGAUCUAUGGUUUGUAAACUUCUUUUAUAGGGGAAUAAAGGUAUCCACGUGUGGAUCUUUGCAUGUACCCUAUGAAUAAGCAUCGGCUAACUCCGUGCCAGCAGCCGCGGUAAUACGGAGGAUGCGAGCGUUAUCCGGAUUUAUUGGGUUUAAAGGGUGCGUAGGUUGUUUUUUAAGUCAGCGGUUAAAGGUUGUGGCUCAACCAGAAAAUUGCCGUUGAUACUGGAAGACUUGAGUGUGUUUGAGGUAGGCGGAAUGCGUGGUGUAGCGGUGAAAUGCAUAGAUAUCACGCAGAACUCCGAUUGCGAAGGCAGCUUACUAAGCCAUAACUGACACUGAAGCACGAAAGCGUGGGGAUCAAACAGGAUUAGAUACCCUGGUAGUC